GGAUAAACCAGUCAGAGCUCCUGCUAUCAUCCAGCAAGUGAAGUCAGGUUGAUUGUGUGUGCAGUGUGAUCACUGUAAUAUAGCGUUGAGAGAAGAAACUUUCGUUCAGGCUGUACAGUUCUAUCACUGACUAGCUAAACACCUCGUGGUCUAAUAUGGCUCCCAUCUCAUCUCAAAUGGCCUUAUUUAGUGUUAUAUGUUUUUUCUUAGCAUUUGUGCAAUUUUCUAGUGGAUGUUCACCAAUUCCUGGGAAAAAACCGGCUGCUUUGGAAGAACGUUUUUUUCAUUCGGAAUAUGUUGUGUAUGGAAAAAUUACCGCGCAUUACCCCGAACCGAAGCCGAUGUACGAUUCGGUUUAUGUAGCAGAAAUGAUGGUAUAUUGCACAUUUAAAGGGAACGUGUUACCACCACGUAUUAAUAUCAGUGAUGCCGGUUUUGUUCCAGGGCUGUGCCAUUCCACUGAACUUACUACUGGACAGGAUUUUGUCGUCUUUCUAAGUACGGAACUUACUCCUAUCUAUAAGGAAGACGUACCUAGCGAACAGUAUUUAGAAGAAAUUUCAAUUUUAUGUGAACAUGAUAUUAACUAUCCACAAGGUUUAGACGAAUCAACAGCUCCUAUGAUGUGUCCUGCUAACUACCCAGAAUACACAGAUUGCAUCCGAUAUGUCGAACCAGAAGAAGAAAGUGAACCUGAAGUGAAACCAAUAGAUAAGAAUACACCAAUAGUUGAAGCAACGAAACCGGGUGAAGUGUCUGGAGACGGUGGAAAGGAGAUAAAUGAUGGCGGUAAUGGCGGAAGUGACGUAAUUAAUGUAUCUUGUAUGUUAACGUAUAUUUGUGUAUUUGUGUCGCUAUGGUUAUAGGUUAGUUGAUAAUAUAGUAUUUUACAAUUCGCAUAAUGAAUGUUGAACGUGAUCUAUUAAACAUGCAUUCCUCAUUAAUUUAAAAAAUAUUCUUUCAUUACCCAGUUAACAAAUCUACGUUUUCGCUACGAAUUGUAAUGGCGGUAAAUAAAAUUGUCUAGCCGAACUUCAGGAGAGGAAAUCGCUAUAUCUUUAUAUUAUAGCAAUGCUAUAUCAAGUAAGAAUACAUUAGCCAUUUUUGUUAAAAUUAUCAACGACUUUUAGAUUUAGCUGUAUGAUAAUGGCAUACGGUACAAAAUGUCAAAAUAUUUCAUUACUAUUUAACAUUUAUGCCCGAUAUUUCGAUCCGCACAACCAAUACUAAGACCGGUUGUAUUAAUGUACCAAUACUCAACCAGUUGGUCGAGAAUGGAGCUUAGAUUGAUAUGAGGUUUGUCGUAACUAAGUGACUAACACUUUCAAACCAUAUUGGAAUUUAUAUAGUUACUUGUUCUACGUAACCACAAUCAAUCAUUUGAUAUGGGUGCCAACUUAUACGAGAUUAGUAAGGGGGAUAACCACAUUUAUUACAAGUUUGUCUUUGUUUUUAAGAUAUUCCCCAGUUACUCUUGAUGCAGCCUUAAAGAAUAUAUUGAUUUAAAUAUUGAAAUGGUUAUAUCAGUUCAAGGGAGACAACUGCAAAUAAAUCGUUAAGAGAUUUUUGUUUUCGCGAAAGUACACUACUGAGUGUACAGAAAUUUUAUUUGCCUUGAUCAUUGAUUAAGACUGUGGAUCAAAUUAUGUUUCAUCUACGAUUAUGUCAUUGAACAUACGUAAAUUCAGUGUAUUUUAUUGUAGAAUAUUGGACUAAAAUAUGGAUACUUGGGUGAUUACAAGAAACUAUAACUUAAUUAUGGAAGCUUAAUUAUAACUUUUACAUUUUUUUUCCAUGAAAACCAAAAGGUUUAAAUUUUGACCUUUUGUCUUCAGAAACAUGAAUCAAAUGAGACAUAUGAUAGGAAUGAGACAUAUGAUAGGGAUGAGUCAAAUUCAGACUAUAUUUCGUUUCGCUUUUGUGGUUAAAGUCAUCGUUUAAAAUUCAAGAAACUGGAACGAAAUAGGUUCUAAAUUUAUCAUUGUGAAAUGUGCUUACUUCUAUGUCCGAUUUUCUCGCUGGAAUUUUCUGAUUAAUCAGUGUUUAAAAUCAUGUUUGCACUCAACUCGCUUUAUUGUGCAGGUACAAUUUUAAAUAUCAAUUGUGCUAUGAACUUCCAACAAGAAAUUGUUUAAAGCGGGGUUCGAAUCGUGCGUUUUCUGUAAUUACGAGGUUCCAAAUUAAAAAUAACGCCCCAAAUCACAAAGUCAUAUUUCCUACUUCACCAGUAAAACAUAUGACAUGUCACGUGAUUCGAGUGGUAUUUUCGUGAAGGGAAUUUGUAAUUACGGUACAUACGACAUGAUUCGAACCCAGCAAAGAUUGGCUGAUGUAAAUCUAAUGUUAAUUGUGUUUUUGUAUAAUGUGUAAUGUUUAUUAUAACUGUGUGUUGUCUUUUUGUUUGGCCAGAUUAUUAUUUAUUUUUGAGUACUAUAUUUGGUACAUUAUAUGUUAUGUAUAUACGGUUCUUUUAGUGUGUAUAAAGUAAAUAAUUAUAGCUUUUUAGUAGCAAGCUUUUUUAUUGUUGAACUGUAGGCUUCUUAGAUACUGAGUGGCGCAGCACCCAAAGUUGACGAUAAUAGUUGUCACGCCUAGCGGGUUAAAUAUUACAUGGACGUAGGAUCCGGUUUAUUGAGAGAGAUUUAACAUACGGAUGUAGUUAAAUCAAUAUUUAGCUCUAUGAUCAUAACCUGCUCUAGCUAAAUUAAGCACACCCUGCCUAUUGCAUGAACUACCGUACUCACCAUUCGAUAAUUCUGACUAUCCGGUAAACAGGCAGAUAAUACCGAUUCCAAGGCGCCUAUAAAUCGUCAUAACGUUUCUGCACAAUAUAGUUAAAUGUAGGCAGGGUAAAUCGUCAACCCGAAGGGCACAGGAUAUUGUUUGAAUGCCUCUUGCGAGAUGUGAAAUUAUACUUUAGUUCUUCAUAAUAAACAACGUUAAAUACAUAAGUGCGUUAAAUCUCUCCCGAUUGUAAAAGUAUUAUAUAUUUAUUCGCUUUAAUUCGUGUAUAUCAUCAACCAUGUUUCUGUUGGUUUACCUAUUCUUUUUUAUAUUAUAAUAUCAUUAAUUAAAAUAUAUACAAAUACAUGUGUAUCUUAUAACAUCAUGAAUAUACAAUUUUCUAUAGUUCAUAGUAUUAUCAUAUCUCUUAGCAAUAACUGCAAUAUUUUUGUUGAUAAUUAAUUGCCAUUUUUUAAAAUGUUUUAACAACAUUAAUGAUUAAUUGACACUGUCUAGUUCGCUCUACAUCAUUUAUCAUUUAAAAACUCUCAAAUUUCAUGUUUAAGAUUGUUUCUAUCAAAUUUUUUCAAUCAAAUUUUGUUUUUGGUGCUAGCAAUAAGCGACCGAAUUUUGAUUAACAUUUAGAUUGAUCACCACCUCUUCGGCAUUUUGCCAUUUGAAUAAUACUGGCAAUAAUUUCAUGUCUUUCAGAUAAUACCUUUGAUAUUAUUAUAGACAAUUAGAUUUCUUUAAUGUAAUUAAUUCAACAAUGUAGUAAUGUGUGUGUUGCUCUAAUUUAUACCACUCUGUUAAGUAUACGCACUCUUACUGUCAAAUAUUUCGCUUGUCGUAUGCCAAGUACUUAUAUAUAAACGCAUAUUUGUGAAUAAAUUCAUGGAUUUCUAAA